AAUCAUCUCAAGCAAGCGAGAUUCUUCAAACCCAUAUCGAUUUCGCAUUUCUCUGUGUUGAUUUCGUUUCCAAGUUUGGAUUUUUUUUUUCUUUCCCAAAAGGUUUCUGCAGCGUCUUAGCCUAAAAUCAAGCAAAUUGUGUACUCUGGAUCUAAAUUGUCAAGUUUUGGAAUUGAAAUUUUACAUUUUUCGAUAUUGGUGUAUUAGGAAAAACGGAGACAUCGCUGUAGAAAUCGUUGAAACCCUAAUCAUGGGAAAGAACAGACAUAAGUUUAAGAGCUUGAAAGAGAGAAUCAAUGACAUUGAAGUCAAAGUAUUUAGGAGUUUGGAUAAGGUGAAGUCUGAGCCUUCAAAAGGUUCCACAUAAGGAUUGCCUCGUAGAAUGGAGGGUAUGUUUGAUUUUGUUUCCUUAAGAGUUUUCCUUUUCUAAAGUUUCAAUUUUUGUGUUCUUGUGGUCUUGUACUGUUGUAUCCUACUUACUACUAUGCUGGUUUUAAGUUAAGAUUCUUAAGAUAA